GGGUCAGCGACUUAUAUUCUGUAGCAAGGUUAACCGAAUAGGGGAGCCGAAGGGAAACCGAGUCUUAACUGGGCGUUAAGUUGCAGGGUAUAGACCCGAAACCCGGUGAUCUAGCCAUGGGCAGGUUGAAGGUUGGGUAACACUAACUGGAGGACCGAACCGACUAAUGUUGAAAAAUUAGCGGAUGACUUGUGGCUGGGGGUGAAAGGCCAAUCAAACCGGGAGAUAGCUGGUUCUCCCCGAAAGCUAUUUAGGUAGCGCCUCGUGAAUUCAUCUCCGGGGGUAGAGCACUGUUUCGGCAAGGGGGUCAUCCCGACUUACCAACCCGAUGCAAACUGCGAAUACCGGAGAAUGUUAUCACGGGAGACACACGGCGGGUGCUAACGUCCGUCGUGAAGAGGGAAACAACCCAGACCGCCAGCUAAGGUCCCAAAGUCAUGGUUAAGUGGGAAACGAUGUGGGAAGGCCCAGACAGCCAGGAUGUUGGCUUAGAAGCAGCCAUCAUUUAAAGAAAGCGUAAUAGCUCACUGGUCGAGUCGGCCUGCGCGGAAGAUGUAACGGGGCUAAACCAUGCACCGAAGCUGCGGCAGCGACACUAUGUGUUGUUGGGUAGGGGAGCGUUCUGUAAGCCUGUGAAGGUGGCCUGUGAGGGUUGCUGGAGGUAUCAGAAGUGCGAAUGCUGACAUAAGUAACGAUAAAGCGGGUGAAAAGCCCGCUCGCCGGAAGACCAAGGGUUCCUGUCCAACGUUAAUCGGGGCAGGGUGAGUCGACCCCUAAGGCGAGGCCGAAAGGCGUAGUCGAUGGGAAACAGGUUAAUAUUCCUGUACUUGGUGUUACUGCGAAGGGGGGACGGAGAAGGCUAUGUUGGCCGGGCGACGGUUGUCCCGGUUUAAGCGUGUAGGCUGGUUUUCCAGGCAAAUCCGGAAAACCAAGGCUGAGGCGUGAUGACGAGGCACUACGGUGCUGAAGCGACAAAUGCCCUGCUUCCAGGAAAAGCCUCUAAGCAUCAGGUAACAUCAAAUCGUACCC
rnacentral:rRNA from 1 species